UACGAAGGGGGCUAGCGUUGCUCGGAAUCACUGGGCGUAAAGGAUGCGUAGGCGGGUCUUUUAAGUCAGGGGUGAAAUCCUGGAGCUCAACUCCAGAACUGCCUUUGAUACUGAAGAUCUUGAGUUCGGGAGAGGUGAGUGGAACUGCGAGUGUAGAGGUGAAAUUCGUAGAUAUUCGCAAGAACACCAGUGGCGAAGGCGGCUCACUGGCCCGAUACUGACGCUGAGGCACGAAAGCGUGGGGAGCAAACAGGG
rnacentral:rRNA from 1 species